rnacentral:lncRNA from 1 species
UGUCUUUGAGGAGGUGGUUCGGGUUUCCUAGAGGCGUCAAAGUCAUAAAAGACAAGUCUUCUGUCCUCGGGGAGCCGGUGGAUCGUAUGUCCAGAGGUGACCCUGAAGAUCAGCCCUGACCAUGCUGAGAUUUGGGCAGCACCUGAUCAAGCCCUCGGUGGUGUUCCUGAGGACAGAGCUGAGCUUUGCUCUGGUGAACCGCAGGCCGGUGCUGCCAGGCCGUAUCCUUGCCAUGCUGCUGCUCCCUGGGAAGGGCAGGACAAGCUCAGGACGCUUGGAAGGCCAGUGCUUUCAUACAGAAGUUCAUUAUUCACUUGAAGAACAAGUUCAACAACAUGAAAGCGCCUCUGUCCCUUCCUGCUGCUUCCAAAGAGAGCUUCUGGUGUGAUUAUUCCAAAUAUAUUCGGCCUCUGACCUCAGAGUAAGAUUGACAUGGCUCUUCAUAUUGUCAAGAACCUUCUUGUAUGGCUGUGGGGAAGGUGAGAAGUUAUCAGCAUGUAGUUUCAGCUCUGUCUUUCAGGUAAUAAAGGCUAACAUGCUGCCCUGGUAGUGUUUCA